rnacentral:rRNA from 1 species
UGGAUAUCUGCCUUUUGGUUCGGGAUAACCCUGGGAAACUAGGGCUAAUACCGAAUGGUUCCUACGGGAUAAAGAUUUAUCGCCAAAAGAUGAGUCCGCGUCCGAUUAGCUAGUUGGUGGGAUAAUGGCUCACCAAGGCUACGAUCAGUAGCUGGUCUGAGAGGAUGAUCAGCCACAGUUGGGACUGAGACACCGGACCCAAACUCCGUACGGGAGCAGCGAGGUAGGGGAAUUAG